AUAUCAGCAAAAAGUUGCAGCACUUUGCACUUGUUGAAAACAUGGCCCAAAGUCCUUCAGAAGUUCUCACCAAAGCAUUGGCACGGUCUCCACAAAUCCCUUGAAAUGGAAGAAGUCUGUGACUCUUUUCACAGGACUCAUUGACCAGAGGCCCUAACCAGCAGGGGAGCUGGCACAGAAAAUUGAGGGGAAAGAGUAUGCCAGGACCACCCAAAAAGCAAUUGAACCUACUACUUCGUCAUGGAGCAUGGAGAUAUGUGUCCUGGGUAUUUCCAUAUGCAGCCUCAAACAACUUUCCCCAGCAUUGGCAGUUGCUGUGUUGGAGUGGAAGAGAAAGCAGGCGCUUUCUGCAGAAAGCUGGCUGGCUUUGGGUGUGAAGGCCAGGGAAAUGAAAUGGUUUAGUCACCGAACUCUGGAGCACGUUGCGUUCAUACCAUUUAUGGCAGG
rnacentral:lncRNA from 1 species